GGCAUGGCUCAGUGGUAGAGUGUGUGCUUGGCAUACACAAAGUCCUGAGUUCAAUCCCCAGUACC
rnacentral:tRNA from 1 species